CGCGGCCUAUCAGCUUGUUGGUGAGGUAACGGCUCACCAAGGCGACGACGGGUAGCCGGCCUGAGAGGGCGACCGGCCACACUGGGACUGAGAUACGGCCCAGACUCCUACGGGAGGCAGCAGUGGGGAAUAUUGCGCAAUGGGCGAAAGCCUGACGCAGCAACGCCGCGUGCGGGAUGACGGCCUUCGGGUUGUAAACCGCUUUCAGCAGGGACGAAACUGACGGUACCUGCAGAAGAAGCACCGGCUAACUACGUGCCAGCAGCCGCGGUGAUACGUAGGGUGCGAGCGUUGUCCGGAAUUAUUGGGCGUAAAGAGCUCGUAGGCGGUCUGUCGCGUCGGAAGUGAAAACUCGGGGCUCAACCCCGAGCCUGCUUUCGAUACGGGCAGACUUGAGGAACGUAGGGGAGAACGGAAUUCCUGGUGGAGCGGUGGAAUGCGCAGAUAUCAGGAGGAACACCAGUGGCGAAGGCGGUUCUCUGGACAUUAACUGACGCUGAGGAGCGAAAGCGUGGGGAGCAAACAGGCUUAGAUACCCUGGUAGUCCACGCCGUAAACGGUGGGCACUAGGUGUGGGGAACAUUCCACGUUCUCCGUGCCGUAGCUAACGCAUUAAGUGCCCCGCCUGGGGAGUACGGA
rnacentral:rRNA from 1 species